rnacentral:lncRNA from 1 species
AAUUAUUUCUAGAAAUGGAAAUCGGGAAACAUGACUUGGUUCGCGACUUAUCAUAGAAAUAGGAUUAAUGUUAAUAAUUAACUAGUAGAUAGGGUGAUAGACAGACACAUAGGGACAUGGGGGAUCAGAGAUUAAAUGAGAGACGGCAAAGAAAAAGCACGGCACAUGGAGAUCGAUAUAUUUUCGGCCGACGAUCACCGACCAUUGAUCUCCCAUGUUUUCG